GAGGGGAACAAUGAACCACCUGCCAAGGUUGCUUGCUAACUCUGAGGUCUGAGCCACUUGUUGGAAGUGCAGUUUGAAUGGGGGAUAUUUUAAUCGAUCUCACCAAAUUCCCAGAGCCAACGGUACUACAGGAAACACCAUUAACCAAUUUUUGAGCAAUUGAGCCGUAUUCUGCUGGAAACAGUGGAAAAGAGGAGAAUCGAGCAGUAAGACGAAAAGGAUUCUCUGGGUUUUAGGGUUGAAAUUGGGGGUUUUCCUUUCUGCUUUGGCCGCCACAUUAUUUGAAGCACCCACUCAUGUAAGGGACAAGCUAUGUGCUAAUAAUACACGUUUGCCAAAGGUAAAAAUGUUAAAUUGUCUGUUUCUGUUCUGAUACCAGUAAUUGCCAAUUUUUCCUUUGAAGAGAAUCCUUCCUAUCAUGAAUAUUCUUUUACCAAAUCCCAAGUUAUAGUCUGCCUGGAGUGAAGAUACCUGAUAUCAAAUAUGACUUUAGUCUAGUGGGAACAGGGCAGUGAGCACUGGAGAUGACAACAUUAUCCAUCGAGUUUCGAACAGUGCACUAUUUGGCCAAGCUGAGACAAAGUUCUGAUUUUUGGAAGAGCAGCCACAGCAACUCCAGGAAUUCAACUAUUUAGGCUUUUUUAUCCCUUUUGACAAAAGUUCCCAUGUUUCUCUGGUAUGUCCUUCCAUUAAUUUCUUUUCCUUGGAGGAGUUGGUGAAAUGUAUGUCCUUAAAAUUGUAGAAUUUGACAUUAUCUUUGUGUCAUAUAUAUUAUAAGAAAGGCUACUGUUUGUUUGUG